rnacentral:snRNA from 1 species
UUUAACAUUCAUUAAGCA